rnacentral:rRNA from 1 species
AAUAUUGCACAAUGGGCGCAAGCCUGAUGCAGCCAUGCCGCGUGUAUGAAGAAGGCCUUCGGGUUGUAAAGUACUUUCAGCAGUGAGGAAGGUGGUGCAGUUAAUAGCUGUAUCAUUUGACGUUAGCUGCAGAAGAAGCACCGGCUAACUCCGUGCCAGCAGCCGCGGUAAUACGGAGGGUGCGAGCGUUAAUCGGAAUUACUGGGCGUAAAGCGCAUGCAGGCGGCCUGUUAAGUCAGAUGUGAAAGCCCCGGGGCUUAAACCUCGGAAUUGCAUUUGAAACUGGCAGGCUAGAGUCUUGUAGAGGGGGUAGAAUUUCAGGUGUAGCGGUGAAAUGCGUAGAGAUCUGAAGGAAUACCAGUGGCGAAGGCGGCCCCCUGGACAAAGACUGACGCUCAGAUGCGAAAGCGUGGGGAGCAAACAGGAUUAGAUACCCUGGUAG